GUUGGUAUGUCACCAUACGCUUGUGAGUGGCUGCCAUUUACCCUAGUGACAAGGAAUGUUCCUAACAACUUGUAAGUAGGAAACAGCAGGGCCAGGCUUUGACUGCAUGGACCAGUGUCCAGAGCUCAGUGGUUGCUAGGUGUCUGUGUGUCAGUCCCUCCCCCCCUGCUACCAUCUGCCUCAAAGGUCAGCCCAGGGCUCUACUUUCAACCUUUGAUGCAAAAGCACUUACAGUCAAAGAACAAACAAGAUGCCAUUUCCCCAGAAGGCUUAGGGCAGGUGUAGUGAGCUCUUAUGACUGGUGGCCUCUUGCCGUUUCAGCAAGCCUGAGUGGCCUUGGAGACUGUGCUGGGUCAUGAGCACAGUAAUAGUGUCAUCCAGUCAGCAGAGAGCUUCCCCCUUCUUCGGCAGAGCCUCUACAACGCCCAGCUGUGUAUUCAAGGAUUCCACACCAGGGUCUUAGCUCAUCUCUCCCAGGAUCCUUAUUGUCUGUCAUGGGUGCUGCCGACCCUGUAAGGGGUCUAGUGCCACCAUCUUUGCUGUUGAGGCUUCAUGAAUGCCUUUCCUUCCCUGGCUACCAGUUUCCUUAGCCAUCCAAUGGGCAGAGUGACUCCUGUCUUGGCCUCACUGAUGUGGGCAGGGACUGCAGGUAUCAGGAAAGCAUUGCAAUCAUGAACUCUUUUCACGGGCUAAGGCUUGAACUUAGAUUUCCUCUCUAGCAAGAAGUUAGGUGGAGACACUCUCAAGAGGGCCAGCAGCGCCUAGAGAACCCUUCCUGGGACAAGGGGAGCCAGGGCCCCUGGGGGAACGUCCUACUAAAGGAAGCCUGGGUUAGAGAUCCUGGAAAUAUAUACCUAAGGACAAACUCCAUUUCUCUUCUAGGCACCUGUGGCUCUGUUUACAAGGUGUGGAGUUGAAUCAGUUGACUUAGGUGGCCCUUUGGUGGAACUUGCUUAGGUGUUAGUUAGAAAUGGGGCACACAGUGCUUAGCUCUGUCCCCUUUGAGCUGUGUGAUCAGGGCUACACUCACUCUGAUUUUUGGGGCCUGAGGGCUCUUUCGUCUUGGGGUGCUGAGGGCAGGCUGGGAACAUGGGCAGAUACUGGACAGCACCCAUCUUGGAUACACGGGGUAGACCAGAGUUGGCUUUUUGUAGCAUGGAUAGUCCUAGUCACAAUUGAAACACUUGCCUCAUGCUUGGGACAUGACUGAGUAGUCUGCACAACUCCCGUUUAGUUCAGAAGUUCCGUCCUCAUGGGCACAUCCAUGAAAGUCACGUGGAGGGUGAGAAGCAGGGUGCUGCCCGGGUAGAUCCCCUUGGCAUCCACACAUUUAGUUCCCAGAGCCUGGUUGAGAUGCCACGCUGCUUCUCACUCAGGAUGGGACACUUAGGGGGGUUAGAGGAUGUGGCGGUGGCCAAGUGGCAAACUGUCCCCACGCGGCUAUGGCCAGUUAUCCCUGUCCACGAUAGUUUAAUCUUCAUUGUUGGCGUUGCUUGAUUUGGAAUGGCUUAGGAAACACACGUCUGGGUGAGCCCAUGAGGGUGUUUGCAGAGUUUUACCCAAGGAGGGAAGUGAGCACCGCUACCCAGGGUCUCUGGACUGAAGGGAAACGGGUAAAUGAGAACGAGAAGAGAGCCGGUCGUGACCAGCUGUCUCGCUCUCCUGCCACGGCAGCUAGGGCUGACACACUGUCACCCCACGGUGAGCAACAACCUCAAAUAGUGAGCCAAAACAAACCCUUCCUUCCUUACGUUGCUUUUGCCAGUAAUUUUGUCACAGCAGCAGUGAGAUUAACCAAUAAAGUAACUUAAGUCUGAAUGGCUUUGUUUGGUCAAGCUCUACAAGCCUGGUGGCCUGGGUUGACCCUCAGCACCUGGAAGUUGUCUGAGCUCCACACAUACUUCCUGAAUCAAAUCUGAACAGUGUCUGCUGCUUCUUCCCUGCCUAAAUUCCUGAGGCAUUUUCUCUAGAAAGCCUCUAAGUUUCCUGCAGUAGAGUUACUCUGAAAGGAUCACACCAAUCACAGGGCCUUCCUAGAGGGGACCCUGGCGGCAGUACAUCUGUCCUGACUAGAGUUCAUGUACAUAGGGACCUGAGGGCCAAGACCUCAGGGCAGUGACCGAAGAGACCAAGCUCUUCCUGCCUAAGGUAAGAGCCCUCCUCCCUGAAGCAUCUUUCUCAAGGAACAUCUGUGCUCCAUUGGCCGGCAGGAGGCAGAACCAUGAGAUAAGUAGGAAUUUAGUAUUGGACAGACCUGGCUUCCAUCCUGGGCUGUUCCAGUGUCUGGCUAUGUGUUAUCAGGCAAGCCCUUUAACCUCUCUCUGGGCCCUGCUUUUCCAAUUGAACGCAGAUAUCUGUGGCAUUGCUGUCCCAGGUCUACUCCCAGUGCAAUGACAAGCCAUGAGAGCGUCCCAUUUGCUGUGCCACGGAGAAAGUAUAUCCUACAGAUUGCACCCUUUCCCAGCCCUGUGAGUGGCAGCAAGGUAAGCAUUUUCUGUGGGACAGGAGAGCAGUUACUAGUCCUCGUGGGCAGACUCUCCUUCCGGAGUUGUAGAUUGGCGAUCGGCGAGCAAGCUGCUCUACUCGGAGCCUGAGCUCAUAUUAGUGCCCCGCCCUCCUGCUUCCAGCUCUGCACCACACCCCUGUUCUUUGGGCAUUCUUGAUCCUUCUUUCAGACAGGCAGGCAGGCAGCAGAACAGAGAAAUAAAUCAAAGUUGCUUUCACGUCUUGGAGGCCGUGAUGCUCCCUUGAAGUGAUCCCUUGCUUCCCAUUUCCCACCCCAAUAACUCUUGUAUAUGGAGUGUGAAAUAAUUAACAGUGGCAAAAAUAAUUCUGGAAACAAGAAGAAACUAAUUGUGUAGGCUUGUUUGGGGAGAACACAGCUGAAGAACAAGAACAACAAAAAAAAAUCUCACUGUGUGGGGAGAGGUGGGCAGGCUCAUCGGGUCCCCGCAGGCCAAGGCCGGAGAUGGGGUGGCUGGCCAGAAGGUCCUCCAGGACACCUUCCUCAUCUCUGCCUCUCCACGAAAGGCUGUUCAUGCUACAGCCAGGACAGAUGCUCCUCUCGGGUACUGAGGUGACAUCCUUAAAUACAUUCGGCAUUCUACACCCCACAUUGCGCCAUCCAAGAAGGCAGAUGGAGAGGGAAGUCUGGUCACCUGGAGCAGACGUGUGUGUGUGUGUGUGUGUGUGUGUGUGUGUGUGUGUGUGUGUGUGUGUGUGUGUGUGGUCUUCUGGGAACUGGCUCCAUCCCUGAACUUGAGCUGGAGGCAGCUGGCAGGCCUCCCACCCUCGUGGGCCCGGAAGGCUCCUCUUCCCUUUCUUGCCUGCCUUCACCACCCAGACUGCCAGCCCCAACAGACGCCCACUGAGCAUCAGUCCCGUGGCUUGGGUACCAUUAGGAGGUGCUGCAGUUCUCCCCGGGGAAGCGGAAGUAAGUCAUCCUCAGACUCACACACUUCAUGGAUCUUCUAGCUCCGGGAGGCUUGCCUCCUCCUUCUGCUCUCUCUACUCCCCUCUCGUCCUCCACCACGUUUGCUCUGCUCUUCCCAGCUAGCGAGAAGGUGCAGAAGAGGCCCCUGUUCCCAGGCAGCAGGACAAAAUGGAUAGCUGGCCCAGGGUUGUGGCUACCAGGGAGGUGGCCCGAGGCUGGCUCCCUAUCCUCUGUUCAUCCUUGCUUUCCUUGCUUUCCCGGCUAUACAACGGGUCUCGCCUCUUCCUGGUGACCACCACAAUCCACUCUGCCUUGGGUGAGACCUGACUCUCGUGACUGAGCGCUGGGCACAGGAUAGUGAGAAGCCUUUGCAGGUUGUUGCCCUUUACUCUCUGAUCUGACUAGAGUCUGGGGCUGUGAUUCUGAGGCAGAAUAACCAGGUGAGGUUUGAUCUGGGGGUCUUUGAAGGCCAGCCUCAGGCAGGGGAAGUCAGGAGAGCCAGAGAAGGUUCUGGCAAACACCAGGAGGAGGAAGAGUUACGUCUGCACCAUCAGUCCGGAGUCAGCGCCUUGGGUGCAGCUACAGGGGACAGAGCCAGCUGCUCCGAUCAUAUCUCUGAAUAUGCGACUCAAGAUCAUGCUGUGAGUUCCAGCCGUCUAGUGGAUGGAGGAUUGAGAGCCCCUUUGCUGCCAUCAGUUGGUGUCCUGAGCUAACCGCGUCUCCCUGGUUGGGAAACAGGAUGGGAGCUACCAGGGUCUUAUUCCUCUGAGCCGGGCCAGUUUAACACAUGUGCCAGCAAUCCCGAGACUGUGCUGGUGGGCAAAAGAAAUCACCUCUGUCUGCAGCUCAUCUGUCUUGAGGUCCCCUUCUUCUGGCCAGCUCAUUUCUCUGCCUCCUGGGAUUUCUGUUUCUGCUCUGUUGUAUCCUUCGGCCUGGAAAUCCCAUCCUGACUGCUCUGGCAUAACACCAGCCUCCUUCCCAUAGCUGGUUCAGCUAUCAAAACGGACUUAGGUUUACUUUUCCCAAGUUCAUUCAUGCCAACAUUAAUACAACGAAAGGAUGUUACCAGUUUUAUAUCUACCGCCACCAAUUAAGUUUUGAUUAGCACCUGCUAAUCUAUACUCGUCUAGAGUAAAUCUAGAAGCUGCCAUUUACACAUGGGUGAAAUGAACAGUUACAGUAUUGAGAGUUUUAAUUCUGCAAAAAGCACCAUAAAGUGCAGACUUCUUUGUGGCAGGUGUCUGGACAUGUUGGAGAACCAUGUGUGUUGGAGAAAAAUCCAGGAAUUGACUUCUGAGUUUCUGACAUCUAUCUGUUGGUUGAUUCAAGACACAUUCUGUCUUGGCCUAAUCUUUGCCAUUUGUAUAAAUGAAAUAAAGUUUAUUGGACAUGUGGCUCCUAGGAUUAGUGGGAGUGUACCUGCCAAACAGCAGUCAGUAAGUAUGGAGUCAUAUCCUGAGUCAGUGGGAGACCUUGAAAUAUAAAUGUUAGCCUAGUAACUUACAAACAGUAAGAAGAUAUCUACUGUAUCAACAAACCAUUUUACUCUAGGUAUAUCCUAAAGAACUAAACGUAUAUUUCUAGAUGAAUUUUUGUCUAUGAAUAUUCAUGGAAAUGCUAUUAGCAGCAGUCCCUGAAUGGAAACAACCUACAUUUUUCUCAGCUGGUAAACAGAUAAACAAGAUAUGAUACCCAUACAAUGGAAUAUUAUCCACAAUAGAAAGAUAAUUCUAGCGUAUGUUAUAACAGAGAUGAACACAGAAACAUUAUGUUCAGUAAAGAAGCCACCCACAAAAGUUCUCAUAGUGUAUGAACCCACCUUUAUGAAACAACAAGAAUAGGUAAUUCCUUAGAGACAAAAAGGAAUCUUGUGGUUGCUAGGGACAGAGGUUAAUUCCUCUGAGUUGUAGCACUGACGUUUAAAGGCAGCACCUAUAAGAAAGCGAAGGAAACUCACAAGACCGGGGAGCUCAGAAAGUUACUAGACUCACAAGGUCGGUGAUGAGAUUGUAUGAACAAUUUGCUGAGGAGAGGAGAGUCCCCAGUGGAGCUGCCUGUAAACAGUGCCGGGCGCUCUGGGAUGUGGCUCCCACGGGUUUUUGAUGAUGAUGCAGCUGCUUUUGAGUCACCCAUGUUCAUGAGCCCGCUGCUGUGUUCCUCCGCCACAGUGCCACAAGCGCGGAGCCUGGAGCCCCGCUUAAGACUCGUCCCCUCAUCCACACAUGAAGGGACUCAACCACGCCACGCAGAAGCGCUCUUUACCAAGCCCGUGACUCUCUGAAGCACAGCUUCCUGUCUUGACUGUACACUGAGAAGUUGCUCAAACUCUCCAUGCCUCUGUUUCCCUGCCUAUAAAACAGAAAUGGAAAUGUCCCCCAGGAAAACAGGAAGUAUUAAAUGAGACGGUGUUUUGGAAUGCUUGCAUUGUGCCGGCAGUGUCUACUGAUAAAUACAUGCUAACAG